CAGUAGCCGCGGGAAAACGUAGGUGGCAAGCGUUGUCCGGAAUUAUUGGGCGUAAAGGGCUCGCAGGCGGUUUCUUAAGUCUGAUGUGAAAGCCCCCGGCUCAACCGGGGAGGGUCAUUGGAAACUGGGAAACUUGAGUGCAGAAGAGGAGAGUGGAAUUCCACGUGUAGCGGUGAAAUGCGUAGAGAUGUGGAGGAACACCAGUGGCGAAGGCGACUCUCUGGUCUGUAACUGACGCUGAAGAGCGAAAGCGUGGGGAGCGAACAGGAUUAGAUACCCGCGUAGUCCCUGUCUCUUAUAU
rnacentral:rRNA from 1 species